CCUACGGGAGGCAGCAGUGAGGAAUAUUGGUCAAUGGACGAGAGUCUGAACCAGCCAAGUAGCGUGAAGGAUGACUGCCCUAUGGGUUGUAAACUUCUUUUAUAUGGGAAUAAAACAGGGUAUGCAUACCCUCUUGUAUGUACCAUAUGAAUAAGGAUCGGCUAACUCCGUGCCAGCAGCCGCGGUAAUACGGAGGAUCCGAGCGUUAUCCGGAUUUAGUGGGUUUAAAGGGAGCGUAGGUGGAUUGUUAAGUCAGUUGUGAAGGUUUGCGGCUCAACCGUAAAAUUGCAGUUGAAACUGGCAGUAUUGAGUACAGUAGAGGUGGGCGGAAUUCGUGGUGUAGCGGUGAAAUGCUUAGAUAUCACGAAGAACUCCGAUUGCGAAGGCAGCUCACUGGACUGCAACUGACACUGAUGCUCGAAAGUGUGGGUAUCAAACAGGAUUAGAUACCCCUGUAGUC
rnacentral:rRNA from 1 species